rnacentral:lncRNA from 1 species
AAACACUUAGGUUCUACUAAUUUAUGUAAAUACUUAACAUAUUUUUAACUUCACAAAGUCUUUUCUGAAAUCUUCAUUGUAUGGCUUCUUUGAGUCUUUUGAUAGUUUUUCAGACUGUAGGAAAAUGAUAUUUUGAAACAUUCACCCUGACUAAUAUUUCGGGACAUUUCCCAUGCUAUGUUAUCAAGCUAGUCAAGGUAGAAAUACUGUUGCAUAUCACCUUUUCCAGAUGUGAACUUGCCUUAUUUUUUAGUUUGUGGGGAAAAAAAAGUACAGUUAUUGAUAAAUUAUAUAUUUGUAUUUAGAGUAAUCCUACACACUUUUCACAAACAUUGAGACCUUUCAGGGUCUUUCAUGAAGUUCUGAUAACUCAAUUAAAGGGUUUGCUUCCCAGAUUUAUAAUGAUCCUGCCCUAGCCAUUUGUAGUUUGUUUUGGGUUGAAAAUUAUCACCAGAAAAAAAUGCAUAAUGACAUUUUUAGUACAGAGUGUAUAGAGUCA